rnacentral:ncRNA from 2 species
ACUUCAUCAAACGGAAAAGGUUUUACUUAAGGUAGAUUAAUAGGGAAUCGUGUGAGAAUCACGAGCUGUCGCGCAACUGUAAGUAACAUACCAAAGGUUUUUGUCCUUGAAGAUCCACUGCCACAAGCGGGAAGGAUGACAAAAACUGUUACAAGUCAGGAGACCUGCCUGUUCCGAAUUGACAAU